rnacentral:rRNA from 2 species
CUUGAGGAGUGGCUUCCGGAGCUAACGCGUUAAGUCGACCGCCUGGGGAGUACGGCCGCAAGGUUAAAACUCAAAUGAAUUGACGGGGGCCCGCACAAGCGGUGGAGCAUGUGGUUUAAUUCGAUGCAACGCGAAGAACCUUACCUACUCUUGACAUCCAGAGAACUUAGCAGAGAUGCUUUGGUGCCUUCGGGAACUCUGAGACAGGUGCUGCAUGGCUGUCGUCAGCUCGUGUUGUGAAAUGUUGGGUUAAGUCCCGCAACGAGCGCAACCCUUAUCCUUUGUUGCCAGCGAUUCGGUCGGGAACUCAAAGGAGACUGCCGGUGAUAAACCGGAGGAAGGUGGGGAUGACGUCAAGUCAUCAUGGCCCUUACGAGUAGGGCUACACACGUGCUACAAUGGCGCAUACAAAGAGAAGCGACCUCGCGAGAGCAAGCGGACCUCACAAAGUGCGUCGUAGUCCGGAUCGGAGUCUGCAACUCGACUCCGUGAAGUCGGAAUCGCUAGUAAUCGUGGAUCAGAAUGCCACGGUGAAUACGUUCCCGGGCCUUGUACACACCGCCCGUCACACCAUGGGAGUGGGUUGCAAAAGAAGUAGGUAGCUUAACCUUCGGGAGGGCGCUACC